CUCUUAUUAAACUUAGAUUCCACAAAUUAAAACAUCUCAUAAAGAGCUAAAGAAAUGGCUCAACCUAAAUUUAACAUAAUAACUCUUUCUGCUAUCCUACUUUGCUUUCUUCUCAUGUUUGCUUCUGAGACACAAAUAACAGAAGCAAAACACUGUGGGAAGCAUAGCAAGAGUUGGAAUGGCAAGUGUUUCCACAAGAAAUGUAACCAUUGGUGCAUGGAAAAAGAAGAUGCUAAAUAUGGCAGUUGUUCUCAUGGAGAUUGCUACUGCUACUAUCAUUGUUGAAAACAACAAUUAAAACAUAUAAAGCCAUUAAUAUCACAUGGCACUAUCUAUCUUAUUAUGUACUAAUACACAUAUAAUUAAAUAAAUAAUGCUGCUAUUAAUUAACAAACUACAUGGUUAUUAUAUAUAUUAUUAUAGCAGCAGUGGUGCCAUUAUCUAAAUGGUGAUGUGUCUCUUUGUAAUUUUGUGUGAGAGUGUGUUUGAAAUAUUCUAUUUGCAGUAAUUUACCUUUGAAGUUUGAA